rnacentral:rRNA from 1 species
UGAAUACGAGACGCUAAGGCGUCGAAGUAGUGUAUGUCAUACUUCCAAGAAAAGCUUGCACUGUCAUAGAUAAAAAACGCCUGUACCAUAACCGACACAGGUGGGUAGGUAGAGUAUACUAAGGGGCGCGAGAUAACUCUCUCUAAGGAACUCGGCAAAAUAACUCCGUAACUUCGGGAGAAGGAGUGCCUUAUUCGUAAGGUUGCAAUAACAAGAUCAAGCAACUGUUUAUCAAAAACACAGGUCUCCGCUAAGUCGUAAGACGAUGUAUGGGGGCUGACGCCUGCCCAGUGCCAGAAGGUUAAAGAAGUUGGUUAGCAAUUGCGAAGCUGAUAACUGAAGCCCUGGUGAACGGCGGCCGUAACUAUAACGGUCCUAAGGUAGCGAAAUUCCUUGUCGGGUAAGUUCCGACCCGCACGAAAGGCGUAAUGAUUUGGAUACUGUCUCGGAGAGGGGCUCGGUGAAAUAGACUUGUCUGUGAAGAUGCGGACUACCUGCACCAGGACAGAAAGACCCUAUGAAGCUUUACUGUAACUUGAAAUUGAAAUUGGACUUUAUUCGCGCAGUAUAGGUGGGAGGCGUUGAUUAUAAUCUUGUGGGAUUAUUGGAGCCAUCAGUGAGAUACCACUCUUGUAAUGUUAGAUUUCUAACUUUGAAUCAUUAUCUGGUCAAAGAACAGUUUCAGGCGGGCAGUUUGACUGGGGCGGUCGCCUCCUAAACGGUAACGGAGGCGUACAAAGGUUUCCUCUGAACGGUUAGAAAUCGUAUCUAGAGUGUAAAGGCAUAAGGAAGCUUGACCGUGAGACCUACAAGUCGAGCAGGGACGAAAGUCGGUCUUAGUGAUCUGACGGUACUGAGUGGAAAGGCCGUCACUCAACGGAUAAAAGUUACUCUAGGAUAACAGGCUGAUCUCCCCCAAGAGUUCACAUCGACGGGGAGGUUUGGCACCUCGUUGUCGGCUCAUCGCAUCCUGGGGCGGUAGUACGUCCCAAGGGUUGGGCUGUUCGCCCAUGAAAGCGGUACGCGAGCUGGGUUCAGAACGUCGUGAGACAGUUCGGUCCAUAUCCGGUGUAGGUGUUAGAAUAUUGAGAGGAGCCUUCUUUAGUACGAGAGGACCGAGAAGGACAUACCUCUGGUGUACCAGUUAUCGUGCCAACGGUAAACGCUGGGUAGCUAUGUAUGGAGUGGAUAACCGCUGAAAGCAUCUAGGUGGGAAGCCCACCUCAAGAUAAGUAUUCUCAUCA